rnacentral:rRNA from 1 species
CCUACGGGAGGCAGCAGUGGGGAAUAUUGCACAAUGGGCGCAAGCCUGAUGCAGCAACGCCGCGUGAGGGACGACGGCCUUCGGGUUGUAAACCUCUUUUAGUAGGGAAGAAGCGAAAGUGACGGUACCUGCAGAAAAAGCACCGGCUAACUACGUGCCAGCAGCCGCGGUAAUACGUAGGGUGCAAGCGUUAUCCGGAAUUAUUGGGCGUAAAGAGCUCGUAGGCGGUUUGUCGCGUCUGCUGUGAAAACUGGAGGCUCAACCUCCAGCCUGCAGUGGGUACGGGCAAACUAGAGUGCGGUAGGGGAGAUUGGAAUUCCUGGUGUAGCGGUGGAAUGCGCAGAUAUCAGGAGGAACACCGAUGGCGAAGGCAGAUCUCUGGGCCGUAACUGACGCUGAGGAGCGAAAGCAUGGGGAGCGAACAGGAUUAGAUACCCUGGUAGUCCAUGCCGUAAACGUUGGGCGCUAGAUGUCGGGACAUUCCACGGUUUCCGUGUCGCAGCUACGCAUAGCGCCCGCCGUCGGGAGGUACGGCCGGCCGACGGACGUAAACUACGAAAGAAGUAGACGGCGUGAGACGUCGCCGACGGACGACGACGAGGGAGGAGG